rnacentral:rRNA from 1 species
GAUGAACGCUGGCGGCGUGCUUAACACAUGCAAGUCGAACGGAAAGGCUCCUGCUUGCAGGGGUACUCGAGUGGCGAACGGGUGAGUAACACGUGGGUGAUCUGCCCUGCACUUCGGGAUAAGCCUGGGAAGCUGGGUCUAAUACCGGAUAGGACGAUGGUUUGGAUGCCAUUGUGGAAAGUUUUUCGGUGUGGGAUGAGCUCGCGGCCUAUCAGCUUGUUGGUGGGGUAAUGGCCUACCAAGGCGUCGACGGGUAGCCGGCCUGAGAGGGUGUACGGCCACAUUGGGACUGAGAUACGGCCCAGACUCCUACGGGAGGCAGCAGUGGGGAAUAUUGCACAAUGGGCGCAAGCCUGAUGCAGCGACGCCGCGUGGGGGAUGACGGCCUUCGGGUUGUAAACUCCUUUCGCUAGGGACGAAGCGUUUUGUGACGGUACCUGGAGAAGAAGCACCGGCUAACUACGUG